CCCAGACCGAUAGCGAACAAGUAGAGUGAUCGAAAGAUGAAAAGCACUUUGAAAAGAGAGUUAAACAGCACGUGAAAUUGUUGAAAGGGAAGCGCUUGCAACCAGACUCGGCCUCGGGGUUCAGCCAGCAUUCGUGCUGGUGUACUUCCCCGGGGCCGGGCCAGCGUCGGUUUGGGCGGCCGGUCAAAGGCCCCAGGAAUGUAUCGUCCUCCGGGACGUCUUAUAGCCUGGGGUGCAAUUC
rnacentral:rRNA from 1 species